AUUGAACGCUGGCGGCAGGCCUAACACAUGCAAGUCGAGCGGAGCGGCGGACGGGUGGGUAAUGCCCAGGUAUCUGCCUGGUAGUGGGGGAUAAGGUCCGGAAACGGGCGCUAAUACAGCAUCCUAUCAGAUGAGCCUAGGUCGUAUUCGCUGGUUGGUGGGGUAAAGGCCUACAAAGGCGACGAUCCGUAACUGGUCUGAGAGGAUGAUCAGUCACACUGGAACUGAGACACGGUCCAGACUCCUACGGGAGGCAGCAGUGGGGAAUAUUGGACAAUGGGCGAAAGCCUGAUGCAGCCAUGCCGCGUGUGUGAAGAAGGUCUUCGGAUUGUAAAGCACUUUAAGUUGGGAGGCGUUACCAACAGAAUAAGCACCGGCUAACUUCGUGCCAGCAGCCGCGGUAAUUC
rnacentral:rRNA from 1 species